AGAAGAUGUGAUGCAUUGGCCUCCCCCUGCAGGAGUUGGGAACGCGCAGAUUCCGCGAAUCACAGUUUUCAGAUAUGGCUGAAAUUGAUAACCCAAGUGAGCAGCUCAGGGAUCAGGACCUGAGGUUUUCAGCACAAACGACAAGAGGUUCAAGUAGAAAAGCAGAAGCGGAACAUGCAAUAUGCAGCCCGUGCCUGGCUUCCCUCACUCAGCUUGACGAAAUCACAGAACAGAUUGUUCUCAAGGAGGCCCCCGUGGUGUUUUCCGGAGCUCCUCUGCCAGGUCUCCAGUUGCGGCAGGGUCCACGUCGCCCCUCCCCUUGGCUCUGGGUUGGCCUUGUCACCAACGUAGGUGGUGGGGCCACAUGGUGCCACCUGCUCCCUCUGCACACCUCUGGGCCCACCAGGUCCUAGUGGGCUGGCAUCUGCUGCGGGGGCUCUGGUGUGGGUGGAAACACUGGGUCCCCCCAGGCUCCUCCUCAUCCCCUGCUCCCAACUUCUUCCUCCAUCCCCCAACAGCCCUCAGAGCUCAAGGGAGGGGGCAUUGACAAAGGGUCUCCACCAGCCUGGUCCUCUUAGCUUUUCUGGUCUAUGAGCUCAGGCAAAAUGGCCAGGCAGGCCCCAGGCCACCUCAGCCCAGCUUAGCCCAGUCCACUCUAGCUUAGUUCAGCCUAGCCCAGUGCAACCCUGUUCACCUCAGUCCAGCCCAGCCAAGCUCAUCCCAGCCCACCUCAGUCCAGCCCAGCACAGCCCAGCCCAGCCCAGGUUAGCCCAGCCAAGCCUAGUUCAACCCAGUUCAGCCCAGCCCAGCCUAGCUCAGCCCAGCCAAGCUCAGCCCAGUUCAGCUCAGCCCAGCUCAGCCCAGCCAAGCUCAGCCCAGCUCAGCCUAGCCCAGUCUAGCUCAGCCCAGCCCAGCUCAGCCCAGCCCAGCUCAGCCUAGUCCAGUCUAGCUCAGCCCAGCCCAGCUCAGCCCAGCCCAGCUCAGCCUAGUCCAGUCUAGCUCAGCCCAGCCCAGCUCAGCCUAGCUUAGCCAAGUUCAGCCCAGCUCCCGCCCAGCCCAGCUUAGCCCUGCCCAGUUCAGCCCAGCCCAGCCCAACUCAGCUCAGCCCAGCCCAGCCCAGCUCAGCCCAGCAUGGCCCAGCCCAGGUUAGCCGAGCCAAGCCUGGUUUAACCCAGUUCAGGCCAGCCCAGCCCAGCUCAGCCCAGCCAAGCUCAGCCCAGUUCAGCCCAGCCCAGCCCAGCCCAGCCCUGCCCGGCUCAGCCCAGCCCAGCUCAGCCCAGCACAGCCCAGCCCAGCCCAGGUUAGCCCAGGUUAGCCCAGGUUAGCCCAGCCAAGCCUAGUUCAACCCAGUUCAGCCCAGCCCAGCCCAGCCCAGGUUAGCCCAGGUUAGCCCAGGUUAGCCCAGCCAAGCCUAGUUCAACCCAGUUCAGCCCAGCCCAGCCCAGGUGAGCCCAGCCAAGCCUGGUUCAACCCAGUUCAGCCCAGCCCAGCCUAGCUCAGCCCAGCCCAGUCCAGCCAGCCCAGCUCCAGGUCCAUGACUUCUAAAGCAGGAUGUGCUUUGUGGGUUCAAGCUUGUGGCAUUUGGGGAAUCACAUAUGGGGGCCUCGAGGCAGAGCAGAGAGGACUUGCAGGACUGUGCAGCUGACAGGAUUUGACAUAGAGACAACUGUGGAAACCCGAGUGUGGAAGGCGUGACUCUGGGUCUCAGCAGCCACCUGCUGGGCAGAUUACACCAGCAGCGCCCCACCGUGGGGCCAGGCGCAGGUCACGGCCAGUGCUGGGAUGUCCUGCAAAAAAUCCGGGUUGACCACACACCACCCAGGUCAGCACGUGGUCCCCAUGGUUGCUGGAGGCAGCUCAGGCUCCAGAGCACUGACUGUGUGCAUCGCUCUCGCUCCACGUUCUAAGCCCUAACACCAGUGGUUUGCAACCAGCCACGGUGGGAGUGUGUGCGGAUGCUGCAGACCAGCCCUGCCCCUUCUGAGAGUCCCUUGUUAAGCAAUUACCAGCACAUUGCUGACUGGCCGAGUCACUAACAUACUAGGGUAUUUUGAUGUUCCCCCCAGAGGACUCUCUGCCCCAUUCCUGUCCAUGCUGGGGUACUGGUUGGCACAGGGGAAGGUGGCACCUGGCUGUGGGCUGCAGGUGGUACAGAAACCUGUGCUCCCCGCGAGGAGCUGGAGUUGGAGCUGGCCACGUGUGGCAUCAUCUGUUGGAAGGCAUUGGAGACCUUGACUAGGAGCAGCCCCUGAGUGGCCUGACUGCUGGACCAGCUGCAAGCUGAGUCCUAGCCCUCGAGGAGUGGGGCCCCCAUCAUCCAGGACCUGGCGCCCGCAUCUGCAGAGGGCUGGGCUCCAUGCUGGGGCCAGAACACAGGGAGCAUGAAGGACUCAGAGACCCGCCUGCGGCCAUAGCACAGGGUAGCCAGCAGGGGACAGCUGGGCCGAGGGGGUGCCGGACGCAGGUGCCAGCCGCCUAGCAGGGCCCUCUUUCUGUCCUCUAUUCAAGGUGGCAGUCUGAAAGACCCCCCCACCCAGACAGCCCUCUGCGAUCUGCGAAGUGAGCAGAGCUGCAUGUGCUGCUCAUCCUUCACCCCUUCAUUCAUUCACUUGGAAGCACCCAGUGAGCACUGUGAAGUCGUGGGCGCUGGUCCAGUGGUGACUGAGGGCAGUGGUGGGUGCCAGGUCCAGUGGUGACCGAGGGCAGUGUCCUCAGGGACUCACGGUUGGCUGUCCUUAGGGACUCACGGUUGGCUGUGGGGACACAGUGGUGUGCACCGGGUCCAGCGGUGACCGAGGGCAGUGGUGGGUGUCGGGUCCAGUGGUGACCGAGGGCAGUGGUGGGCGACGUGUCCAGUGGCGACCGAGGGCAGUGGUGGGUGCUGGGUCCAGUGGUGACCGAGGGCAGUGGUGGGCGCUGGUCCAUUGGUGACCAAGGGUACUCGUCUUCAGGGACUCACAGCUGGGGGGGCACCAAUGAGCAAAGAAAGAAGAAAGAACAAAAGGAAGAUGGGUGGGUGCAGCACAUGCUGCUGGGGCCAGGAGGAGCCUCACCCUGUUGUUCCAGGCCCGGCACCCCCAGCCUGUUCCGGGAAAACUGUCUGGCAAGGCAGGCCUGACCUUGCCCAGGCCACGCUGGCCCCUCUCCCUCUGAACCUCGUGGCUCAUGGCCCAGGACCCGAUGGCAGCGAGCCCAUGGGGGUGAGCCUGGGAAGGAUGCUCUGUGUGGAUGGGGAGUGGCAGGGGCAGGAUUGUGGUCUGGGCUUAGGAGGGGGAGUCCUGCGUGCCCCGGGGAGGCUGACUUUUCGGCAUUAGAAGGAAAUUUGCCUUGAAAAAGAACCUGGGACAGUGCCUGAAAGACACAACUGGGAGGGUCCGAGGCUGGCCAACCCCAGAACUGAGUUCUUGGCCAGCUGCCCAGGGCACCUGGCUUGGUAGGAGGCUGGAGAGGCACUAGAGCCCGCUGAGGAUGUCCGGCCCUCGCACUCUCUGGCUGCCCUGGGUGCACCCACCUGCCAAAUGCAGACUUCUCAGCACCCCUCAAGCCUGCCUGAUUCCCCUGCUGGGAAGAGCACGCCAGCACUCCUGACCUGGAGCUGUCCUUCUCAGCACGUGGUCUCAGAGAGCGGGCGGUGGGUGAGACCAUGCGGGGGUCGUUGGGUAUAAAAUGGAUUGAUCUUGAGCUGUGGUUCAUCUCCGUGAGCACCAGAGCGUGGAGCUAAAAGAUGGCUUCAUCUACGGAGGACAAAAUUUACUUUCAAUAUCUCACUUUAUGGGGGAUAUGAACUGUGAGUUUAGGAGCCAAGUCCAGCAUGCUAAAAAUCUUCCAAGCUGUUUCAUUUUCUUAUCUCCAAGGAACCGGUGAGAAUAUGUGGGUAAGUAUUGGAAUCUGACACGUACAGCUCAUAGGCAGAUGGGAUCCUUCAAGGUGGUUUAGACGCGUCCUCUGGGCUGGCAGCAAAUCACUUCUGGGCUCCACUGUUUGCCACCUUUGCUGUGGAACACAGCGGAACCUGCAGCAUCUGGGCUGGGAUUGGACUUCAGAGGGUGCACAUGUGGUUUUUGUGGGCAGUUUUUCUCAGUGGCCUUUUUAUUGAGGAAUAACAUACAUACGGAAAGGUUCCCAAAUCAUAGAUGUAUGGCUUGAUGCAUUUUAAAAAGUGGACACACCCUGAAACUUCCAUCCAGACAAAGAGACAUGGUGUUUGCAGCACCCCAUCUCGCAGGCCCCCUUAGAGGGAACCGCUAUUCUGACUUUCAUGACCGUGAAUGAGGUUUGCCUGGGAUUGAACUUUACAUACAUGAAAUCGUAAGCUAUGGACCCUUUAGUGUCUGGCUUCUUUUGCUCAAGUUAGAUUUGUGAGAUUCGUCUAGAUCAUUAUGGGCAGAAAUUCUUUCUUUCUCCAUGGCUGUCUUCGAUGGUCUGAGUACACUUCUUUUUAAACAAAUUUAAUUUAAUUUUAAGUUCCGGUAUCCGUGUGUGGGACGUGCAGGUUUGUUACAUAGGUAAAUGUGUGCCAUGGUGGUUUGCUGCACCCAUCAGCCCAUCACCCAGGUAUUAAGCCCAGCACACAUUCGCUAUUUAUCCUGCUUGAGGGUCUCUCUCUUCUCACGCAUGAACAGCGUUGUUCUUUUGCAUAGUUCAGGGCUGUGGGGCAUAGUGUGGCCCCGCGUUCAUGUGCGUGUCUCAUGGUGAACACAGGCAGGCGUUGGGCAUAAAUCCAACCAUCACACAUGCAUUGCAAAUAUCUACUCACAGUUUCUGGCUUAGUUUUAAUUCUCUUAACAGUGUCCCUUGAUAAACAGGCAUUCUUAACUUUAACAAAGUCCAAAGUUUCCAUCUUUCCAUUAGUCUUCAGAAAAAUAAGUAGCAUUUAACAAUUCUAUUUUCUAUUUGUGUUACUGGUAUAUUGGGAUACAAUGUUUCAUGCUAACCACAUAUCUUGUGUCUUGCUAAAUUCUCAUAUUAACUGUAACAAUUUAGCUGUAGAUUCUUUUGGAUUUUCUACAUGCACAAUUGUGUUACCUGUAACUAAUUACAGUUUCAUGUCUUUAUUUCCAGUCCCAUACUUUUGCUUUCCUUUCCUACCUUCUCAUCCUGGCCUGGGCCUCCACCACCACAUUUGACAGAAAUGAAAAUAGCAGACUCUUGUCUCAUUCCUGACAUCAGGGGAAAACUUUUGACAUUUUAUCAGGAAGUGUGUUGGCUGUAGGCUUUAGGCUUUUUGAUGAUAUCUGUAUCAUAUUAAGAAAGUUACUUUCUCAGACUUCUUUUACUUUUACAGCCUGGGCAACAGAGCAAGACUCCAUCUCACACACACACACACACACACACAAAGUUAUUUUCUCGGACUUUUUAUCCUGAAGAGUGUUGAAUUUUAUCAAUGCUUUUCCUGAAUUUACUGAGAUUAUUAAAUGGUUUUUCUUUUUUAUUCUUUUAAUGUAAUGCAUUACAUUUGUUGAUUUUCAAAUAUUAAACUAACUCUUUAUUUUUGUAAUGAAC
rnacentral:lncRNA from 1 species